GACAUAUAAAACAGCGAGAAAGGAGGAUUUGUUUCACAUCAAAAUAUGUGUUGUAAAUGCGAGAUAUCCCCAACUAGCUGCCUCCAGUUACAGGGCGAGCAUCCUUCCCUAGACCAGGUUCUUCCCAGUUAUCAGUCCACAGAAGCGCAAUGCCAGGAAGGAGAGUGCCUGGCAGAGCCUGGGAGCCUGGAAAGUAGGUCAUGCCGUGAGUCAGGCUGGAGAAGCUGAGCAGGAAAUCAGCCGUCAAAUGAGCAAAGUGAUUCUGCGUACGAGCAAAAUGUGCCAGUGUUGACAUUCGUAACUGCCAUAACCGCCAUUGCACAAUGUAAAGAUGAAUGGCAAGAUGCAUGCCAGUAAUUCAAAACGUAAAAUUUUCUUCCUCGGGGUGACAUGACAGAGCAAAUAAAAAACACCAUUAUGCGUCAAG